rnacentral:tRNA from 1 species
AGGGAUGUAGCUCAGUGGUAGAGCCCUAUUUGAGGAUCUAGGUUCAAUUCCUAGCACUA